CAGGUUUACCUGUGUGACUGCGUACCUUUUGUAUAAUGGGUCAGCGACUUAUAUUCUGUAGCAAGGUUAACCGCAUAGGGGAGCCGGAGGGAAACCGAGUCUUAAUUGGGCGUUAAGUUGCAGGGUAUAGACCCGAAACCCGGUGAUCUAGCCAUGGGCAGGUUGAAGGUUGGGUAACACUAACUGGAGGACCGAACCGACUAAUGUUGAAAAAUUAGCGGAUGACCUGUGGCUGGGGGUGAAAGGCCAAUCAAACCGGGAGAUAGCUGGUUCUCCCCGAAAGCUAUUUAGGUAGCGCCUCGUGAACUCAUCUCCGGGGGUAGAGCACUGUUUCGGCUAGGGGGCCAUCCCGGCUUACCAACCCGAUGCAAACUGCGAAUACCGGAGAAUGUUAUCACGGGAGACACACGGCGGGUGCUAACGUCCGUCGUGAAGAGGGAAACAACCCAGACCGCCAGCUAAGGUCCCAAAGUCAUGGUUAAGUGGGAAACGAUGUGGGAAGGCCCAGACAGCCAGGAUGUUGGCUUAGAAGCAGCCAUCAUUUAAAGAAAGCGUAAUAGCUCACUGGUCGAGUCGGCCUGCGCGGAAGAUGUAACGGGGCUAAACCAUGCACCGAAGCUGCGGCAGCGAACGUAUCACCCAAGACAACUUUACGGAGUUGACGAUUGACGGAGCGAAGCGACGUCAAAGCGUAUACAAAGUCGAGUUGGCUUAGGGAUACGUUCGUUGGGUAGGGGAGCGUUCUGUAAGCCUGUGAAGGUGGCCUGUGAGGGUUGCUGGAGGUAUCAGAAGUGCGAAUGCUGACAUAAGUAACGAUAAAGCGGGUGAAAAGCCCGCUCGCCGGAAGACCAAGGGUUCCUGUCCAACGUUAAUCGGGGCAGGGUGAGUCGACCCCUAAGGCGAGGCCGAAAGGCGUAGUCGAUGGGAAACGGGUUAAUAUUCCCGUACUUGGUGUUACUGCGAAGGGGGGACGGAGAAGGCUAUGUUGGCCGGGCGACGGUUGUCCCGGUUUAAGCGUGUAGGUGUGUGUUCCAGGUAAAUCCGGUU
rnacentral:rRNA from 1 species